AGAGUUUGAUCAUGGCUCAGGACGAACGCUGACGGUGUGCUUUAGGCAUGCAAGUCGAACGAGAAAGCCCUUCGGGGUGAGUAGAGUGGCGAACGGGUGAGUAACACGUGGGCAACCUGCCCCUCGCAGGGGGAUAACCGGAGGAAACUCCGGCUAAUACCCCGUAAGCUUUCAGGGUCGCAUGGCUCUGUAAGGAAAGGUAGCUUCGGCCAUCCGGCGAGGGAUGGGCCCGCGGUGCAUUAGCUAGUUGGUGGGGUAAUGGCCCACCAAGGCGACGAUGCGUAGCUGGUCUGAGAGGAUGAUCAGCCACACUGGGACUGAGACACGGCCCAGACUCCUACGGGAGGCAGCAGUGGGGAAUAUUGGACAAUGGGCGCAAGCCUGAUCCAGCCAUGCCGCGUGAGUGAUGAAGGCCCUAGGGUUGUAAAGCUCUUUUGUGCGGGAAGAUAAUGACGGUACCGCAAGAAUAAGCCCCGGCUAACUUCGUGCCAGCAGCGGCGGUAAUUC
rnacentral:rRNA from 1 species